GGCGGCAGGCCUAACACAUGCAAGUCGAGCGCCCCGCAAGGGGAGCGGCAGACGGGAGAGUAAUACGUGGGAACGUACCCUUUAGUUCGGAACAACCCAGGGAAACUUGGGCUAAUACCGGAUACGUCCGAAAGGAGAAAGAUUUAUCGCUGAAGGAUCGGCCCACGUCUGAUUAGCUAGUUGGUGAGGUAACGGCUCACCAAGGCGACGAUCAGUAGCUGGUCUGAGAGGAUGAUCAGCCUCACUGGGACUGAGACACGGCCCAGACUCCUACGGGAGGCAGCAGUGGGGAAUAUUGGACAAUGGGCGCAAGCCUGAUCCAGCCAUGCCGCGUGGGUGAUGAAGGCCCUAGGGUUGUAAAGCCCUUUCGGCGGGGAAGAUAAUGACGGUACCCGCAGAAGAAGCCCCGGCUAACUUCGUGCCAGCAGCCGCGGUAAUACGAAGGGGGCUAGCGUUGCUCGGAAUCACUGGGCGUNAAGCGCACGU
rnacentral:rRNA from 1 species